rnacentral:lncRNA from 1 species
CCAGGAUAGAUUUUGAGGAGUAGCCGUGGCCCAUCAUCAUCCUCAUACUAUUUUUAUGAUAUCAUUUAAAGCAUUUAUCACAUGGAAGAUAAUACGAGUAUGUUUAUUUAAGAGCUCUUUUACGGUACUCUGUAAUAAAUAUGAGCCGUCUAUCUAGUACUAUCUAUUAAAUUAGAGUUGGUGAUUGUCGCAGGCGCCGUACAUCACCUUUCAUUAAAUUUACAUGAGUAUGCCACCGCGCCCCCUCAUGUACGCCCCGAUGCAAAAUGUAGUUAUAUAUAACCAGGCCGGCCACCGCAGAAUUAAUUAAAGAGUAAUUUCACAAAACCACAGGUUUAAUUUGAGGCAGGCAUCUCAACAAGCCGUCACUUUUGCUAAUUUUGUCCGCAAAAUCACAUGUUUUGUGUCCAAUUGUCUCACAUCAUCCAAAACAACGGUUUAAACGCAUUUGAUGGUAUUUCUUACAUGUGGAUCCCGCAUGUCAGUCGUUGCGUCUUUUUCGUUGAGCCCCUCACCUUUUUCUUUUUUUUUUCCUCAAAACAGGUGGUCGUAUGAAAUUUACCGUUCAUUAAAUUUGGACGUACCUACAUAAAGCUACAUGCAUAUAGUACAAUACUCGAUAUUAGUCGAUACGAUCGAUCUCACUGCCGGCCGGCCGUACGUCCUGCGAUGGACGUUCCUGAUCGAUCGACGCGCCCCCGUACGUGUCAGCCAAUUAAUCUGUGCUACUCACGCUAGUUUCGUUAGCUCGGGUGUUAUAAAUGCAAGCGCUGAGAAAGAAAGCAGAAGCAAACGUUAG